rnacentral:tRNA from 1 species
GGAGAGGUGGCAGAGCGGUUGAAUGCGGUGGACUCGAAAUCCAUUAAGGUGUCACAACCUUCGGGGGUUCGAAUCCCCCCCUCUCCG